UACGUAGGGUGCGAGCGUUAAUCGAAAUUACUGGGCGUAAAGCGUGCGCAGGCGGUUUUGUAAGCCAGAUGUGAAAUCCCCGGGCUUAACCUGGGAAUGGCAUUUGGGGACUGCAAGGCUGGAGUGCGGCAGAGGAGACUGGAAUUCCUGGUGUAGCAGUGAAAUGCGUAGAUAUCAGGAGGAAUACCGAUGGCGAAGGCAGGUCUCUGGGCUGACACUGACGCUCAUGCACGAAAGCGUGGGGAGC
rnacentral:rRNA from 1 species